rnacentral:lncRNA from 1 species
CUGGGGGCGAGUAUGGAAAUGCAUUUCAUACUUUGAACAGCUGGUUUCCACACACAGUGCCUGAGCUGCAGGAGUAAGUGCUGGCAGCAAGAUCUGGGAUUAGAGCUGAUGGAAAAGACUGUAACACUUUCUAUUUUCCACAUCUAUAUUCUGAGAAAGGCAUUGAGACAUGGGAGCUCCUGUGUGUAGGCAGGUGCUGCAGCCCUGUGCCACUGCUGGUCACGUAAGCACACACGGGACUGGGAGUGUGGAGGAGAGAACCACUGCCUUUCAUGGAAACACAAAAUAGAAAAAGUAAGGAAGGACUUCUUUGGUGGUAUGGUCCCUUCAGCUCCAUGGGUUCAUUCUCUGCACACCAGCCCUGAAUACACCUGGGUGUCUGUGGUCUUCUUCAGGACAGCAUGUGGUA